rnacentral:lncRNA from 1 species
GGAUCCUGGGCGGCCGGUGGCUCCGAGAGCGCGCAGUGGAGCCCGAGCUGAGCCGAGCCCGAGCCACCGCAGCCGCCACAUCCCUGAGCGCCGCCCGGGUGCAGGGUCGCUGCGGGAGAGCGACCCCGCGGCCGCCAGGUUUUGCUCUAGAAACCUUCAUCUCUGCAUCCUGGGAGUGGGUAGCUCUGGGUAGCAAAAGCAGCUCCAUGUGCAGAAAGCAGAUCUGUGCAAGGAGAAGUAAGCCCUCAUCUCUCUGAAAAUGGGCCCUUGUUGAUAGCUGACCCUGUGCCAAGCUCUCCAUACCCAAGUCCUGCUGGGAGAAAGCUGGUCUCCCAGGAGUGCUGACACACAGGCUUACAAGAGGGACAAGCCACAGUCAGAGACAGCAAGACAAGCUAACACAACAGAUGACCAGAUGGUAAGAGGCAAGGGCAAGAACAUAAGCAACAGACACCAAGGCUACUUGGCAUCAUCAGAACCCAGUUCUCCCACCAUAGCAAGCCCUGUAUACCCCAACACAUAGGAAAAUCAAGACUCUAAAGUAAAAAUCACAUCUCCUGAUGAUGAGAGAGGACUUUAAGAAGGACAUAAAUAACUCCCUUAAAAGAAAUACAGGAGAACACAGGUAAACAGGUAGAAGCCCUUAAAGAAGAAACACAAGCCGGGAGUGGAGGCACACACCUUUAAUCCCAUUACUCGGGAGGCAAGGGCAGGCAGAUUUCUGAGUUCGAGGCCUGCCUGGUCUACAAAGUGAGUUCCAGGACAGCCAGG